CCUGGGCGCAGUGGUUUAUCGAUCCCUUCCCUGCCUUGUGCGCUGAUCCAGGAGCGGCGAUUUCGUGAGAGUUCUCUUUUUCCCUUGUUACAGCCAUCAACAACAACGCGGGAAUCGAUCGAUAAACCUCUGCAUCCAGU
rnacentral:pre_miRNA from 1 species